rnacentral:tRNA from 1 species
AUUCGGGUAUUUUAAAAUAAAAUAUUAACUUGUGGAGUUAAAGAUGUCCUUGAUCCUGGAUU